rnacentral:tRNA from 1 species
GGAUGGAGCAGUGGUAGCUCGUCGGGCUCAUAACCCGGAGGUCGGAGGUUCGAAUCCUUCUCCC